GGAGUUUUAGUAUAAGUGUGGUAUUUUAAAUUGCAAAUUUGAAGGUUGUUUUCUCUU
rnacentral:tRNA from 1 species